rnacentral:rRNA from 1 species
AUACGGAGGAUGCGAGCGUUAUCCGGAUUUAUUGGGUUUAAAGGGAGCGUAGGUGGGAUAUUAAGUCAGCUGUGAAAGUUUGGGGCUCAACCUUAAAAUUGCAGUUGAUACUGGUUUCCUUGAGUACGGUAUGGGUGGGCGGAAUUCGUGGUGUAGCGGUGAAAUGCUUAGAUAUCACGAAGAACUCCGAUCGCGAAGGCAGCUCACCGGGCCGGAACUGACCCUGAUGCUCUAAAGUGCGGGUAUCAAACAGGAUUAGAUUCCCUGGUAGUCCGCACAGUAAACGAUGAAUACUCGCUGUUUGCGAUACACGGUAAGCGGCCAAGCGAAGGCGUUAAGUAUUCCACCUGGGGAGUACGCCGGCAACGGUGAAACUUAAAGGAAUUGACGGGG